rnacentral:rRNA from 1 species
GGGUUGUGAGGUUAAGCGACUAAGCGUACACGGUGGAUGCCCUGGCAGUCAGAGGCGAUGAAGGACGUGCUAAUCUGCGAAAAGCGUCGGUAAGGUGAUAUGAACCGUUAUAGCCGGCGAUGUCCGAAUGGGGAAACCCAGUGCAAUUCGUUGCACUAUCGUUAACUGAAUACAUAGGUUAACGAGGCGAACCGGGGGAACUGAAACAUCUAAGUACCCCGAGGAAAAGAAAUCAACCGAGAUUCCCCCAGUAGCGGCGAGCGAACGGGGAGCAGCCCGGAGUCUGAAUCAGCUUGUGUGUUAGUGGAAGCGUCUGGAAAGUCGCAGGGUACAGGGUGAUACUCCCGUACACUAAAACACACAGGUUGUGAACUCGAAGAGUAGGGCGGGACACGUGGUAUCCUGUCUGAAUAUGGGGGGACCAUCCUCCAAGGCUAAAUACUCCUGACUGACCGAUAGUGAACCAGUACCGUGAGGGAAAGGCGAAAAGAACCCCGGCGAGGGGAGUGAAAAAGAACCUGAAACCGUGUACGUACAAGCAGUAGGAGCCCACUAGUUGGGUGACUGCGUACCUUUUGUAUAAUGGGUCAGCGACUUAUAUUCUGUAGCAAGGUUAACCGUAUAGGGGAGCCGCAGGGAAACCGAGUCUUAACUGGGCGUUAAGUUGCAGGGUAUAGACCCGAAACCCGGUGAUCUAGCCAUGGGCAGGUUGAAGGUUGGGUAACACUAACUGGAGGACCGAACCGACUAAUGUUGAAAAAUUAGCGGAUGACUUGUGGCUGGGGGUGAAAGGCCAAUCAAACCGGGAGAUAGCUGGUUCUCCCCGAAAGCUAUUUAGGUAGCGCCUCGUGAACUCAUCUUCGGGGGUAGAGCACUGUUUCGGCUAGGGGGUCAUCCCGACUUACCAACCCGAUGCAAACUACGAAUACCGAAGAAUGUUAUCACGGGAGACACACGGCGGGUGCUAACGUCCGUCGUGAAGAGGGAAACAACCCAGACCGCCAGCUAAGGUCCCAAAGUCAUGGUUAAGUGGGAAACGAUGUGGGAAGGCCCAGACAGCCAGGAUGUUGGCUUAGAAGCAGCCAUCAUUUAAAGAAAGCGUAAUAGCUCACUGGUCGAGUCGGCCUGCGCGGAAGAUGUAACGGGGCUAAACCAUGCACCGAAGCUGCGGCAGCGACGCUUAUGCGUUGUUGGGUAGGGGAGCGUUCUGUAAGCCGUUGAAGGUGGCCUGUGAGGGUUGCUGGAGGUAUCAGAAGUGCGAAUGCUGACAUAAGUAACGAUAAUGCGGGUGAAAAACCCGCACGCCGGAAGACCAAGGGUUCCUGUCCAACGUUAAUCGGGGCAGGGUGAGUCGACCCCUAAGGCGAGGCCGAAAGGCGUAGUCGAUGGGAAACAGGUUAAUAUUCCUGUACUCGGUGUUACUGCGAAGGGGGGACGGAGAAGGCUAUGUUGGCCGGGCGACGGUUGUCCCGGUUUAAGCAUGUAGGCGGAUGUUCCAGGUAAAUCCGGAACGUCACUAACGCUGAGGUGUGAUGACGAGGCACUACGGUGCUGAAGUGACAAAUGCCCUGCUUCCAGGAAAAGCCUCUAAGCAUCAGGUAACAUCAAAUCGUACCCCAAACCGACACAGGUGGUCAGGUAGAGAAUACCAAGGCGCUUGAGAGAACUCGGGUGAAGGAACUAGGCAAAAUGGUGCCGUAACUUCGGGAGAAGGCACGCUGAUGGUAGGUGAAGUGACUUGCUCAUGGAGCUGAAAUCAGUCGAAGAUACCAGCUGGCUGCAACUGUUUAUUAAAAACACAGCACUGUGCAAACACGAAAGUGGACGUAUACGGUGUGACGCCUGCCCGGUGCCGGAAGGUUAAUUGAUGGGGUUAUCCGUAAGGAGAAGCUCUUGAUCGAAGCCCCGGUAAACGGCGGCCGUAACUAUAACGGUCCUAAGGUAGCGAAAUUCCUUGUCGGGUAAGUUCCGACCUGCACGAAUGGCGUAAUGAUGGCCAGGCUGUCUCCACCCGAGACUCAGUGAAAUUGAACUCGCUGUGAAGAUGCAGUGUACCCGCGGCAAGACGGAAAGACCCCGUGAACCUUUACUAUAGCUUGACACUGAACACUGGUCCUUGAUGUGUAGGAUAGGUGGGAGGCUUUGAAGUGUGGACGCCAGUCUGCAUGGAGCCAUCCUUGAAAUACCACCCUUUAAUGGCUGGUGUUCUAACGUGGGCCCCUAAUCGGGGUUGCGGACAGUGUCUGGUGGGUAGUUUGACUGGGGCGGUCUCCUCCUAAAGAGUAACGGAGGAGCACGAAGGUCAGCUAAUCCUGGUCGGACAUCAGGAGGUUAGUGCAAUGGCAUAAGCUGGCUUGACUGCGAGCGUGACGGCGCGAGCAGGUGCGAAAGCAGGUCAUAGUGAUCCGGUGGUUCUGAAUGGAAGGGCCAUCGCUCAACGGAUAAAAGGUACUCCGGGGAUAACAGGCUGAUACCGCCCAAGAGUUCAUAUCGACGGCGGUGUUUGGCACCUCGAUGUCGGCUCAUCACAUCCUGGGGCUGAAGUAGGUCCCAAGGGUAUGGCUGUUCGCCAUUUAAAGUGGUACGCGAGCUGGGUUUAGAACGUCGUGAGACAGUUCGGUCCCUAUCUGCCGUGGGCGCUGGAGAAUUGAGGGGGGCUGCUCCUAGUACGAGAGGACCGGAGUGGACGCAUCACUGGUGUUCGGGUUGUCAUGCCAAUGGCAUUGCCCGGUAGCUAAAUGCGGAAGAGAUAAGUGCUGAAAGCAUCUAAGCACGAAACUUGCCCCGAGAUGAGUUCUCCCUGACUCCUUGAGAGUCCUGAAGGAACGUUGAAGACGACGACGUUGAUAGGCCGGGUGUGUAAGCGCAGCGAUGCGUUGAGCUAACCGGUACUAAUGAACCGUGAGGCUUAACCUUACAACGCCGAAG